rnacentral:sRNA from 1 species
UGCUUCUACGGCCAGUGAGGAUGAGAACCUCCGGGGGCAGGAGGUUCGACUCGAGCGAAGCGAGAGAACGUUGCGUCAGCAACGG